GACGAACGCUGGCGGCGUGCUUAACACAUGCAAGUCGAACAGUGAAGCUCCAGCUUGCUGGAGUGGAUCAGUGGCGAACGGGUGAGUAACACGUGAGCAACCUGCCCCAGACUCUGGAAUAAGCGCUGGAAACGUCGUCUAAUACUGGAUACGAGAUCAAGCCGCAUGGUUAUGGUCUGGAAAGUUUUUCGGUUUGGGAUGGGCUCGCGGCCUAGCAGCUUGUUGGUGAGGUAAUGGCUCACCAAGGCGACGACGGGUAGACGGCCUGAGAGGGCGAACGGCCACACUGGGACUGAGACACGGCCCAGACUCCUACGGGAGGCAGCAGUGGGGAAUAUUGCACAAUGGGCGAAAGCCUGAUGCAGCGACGCCGCGUGAGGGAUGACGGCCUUCGGGUUGUAAACCUCUUUCAGCAGGGAAGAAGCGAAAGUGACGGUACCUGCAGAAGAAGCACCGGCUAACUACGUGCCAGCAGCCGCAGUAAAAC
rnacentral:rRNA from 1 species